rnacentral:rRNA from 1 species
UACGGAGGGUGCAAGCGUUGUUCGGAAUCACUGGGCGUAAAGGGCGUGUAGGCGGUCCGCUAAGUCUGAUGUGAAAGCCCGGGGCUCACCCCCGGAAGGGCAUUGGAAACUGGCGGACUCGAGUCUCGGAGAGGAAGGUGGAAUUCCGUGGUGUAGCGGUGAAAUGCGCAGAUAUCAGGAGGAACACCGAUUGCGAAGGCAGCUCGCUGGAACGUAGCUGACGCUGAGACGCGAAAGCGUGGGGAGCAAACAGG